rnacentral:rRNA from 1 species
AGUGAACGCUGGCGGUAGGCCUAACACAUGCAAGUCGAACGGCAGCACAGUAAGAGCUUGCUCUUACUGGUGGCGAGUGGCGGACGGGUGAGGAAUACAUCGGAAUCUACUUUUUCUUGGGGGAUAACGUAGGGAAACUUACGCUAAUACCGCAUACGACCUACGGGUGAAAGCAGGGGAUCUUCGGACCUUGCGCGAUUGAAUGAGCCGAUGUCGGAUUAGCUAGUUGGCGGGGUAAAGGCCCACCAAGGCGACGAUCCGUAGCUGGUCUGAGAGGAUGAUCAGCCACACUGGAACUGAGACACGGUCCAGACUCCUACGGGAGGCAGCAGUGGGGAAUAUUGGACAAUGGGCGCAAGCCUGAUCCAGCCAUACCGCGUGGGUGAAGAAGGCCUUCGGGUUGUAAAGCCCUUUUGUUGGGAAAGAAAAGCAGCAGGUUAAUACCCCGCUGUUCUGACGGUACCAAAAGAAUAAGCACCGGCUAACUUCGU